UACGGAGGGAGCUAGCGUUGUUCGGAAUUACUGGGCGUAAAGCGCGCGUAGGCGGCUUUGUAAGUUAGAGGUGAAAGCCCGGAGCUCAACUCCGGAACUGCCUUUAAGACUGCAUCGCUUGAAUCCAGGAGAGGUGAGUGGAAUUCCGAGUGUAGAGGUGAAAUUCGUAGAUAUUCGGAGGAACACCAGUGGCGAAGGCGGCUCACUGGACUGGUAUUGACGCUGAGGUGCGAAAGCGUGGGGAGCAAACAGG
rnacentral:rRNA from 1 species